rnacentral:pre_miRNA from 1 species
UCUGAGCUGUGGAUACCCUUCACGGUGAGCUCAGAAAUGCUGGCUCUUUUUACUCUUGAGCCUUCAAUCUGAGCUCCCUGAAGGGUGUUCCCACACACAGA